rnacentral:rRNA from 1 species
GACGAACGCUGGCGGCGUGCUUAACACAUGCGAGUCGAACGGAAAGGCCCUGCUUUUGUGGGGUGCUCGAGUGGCGAACGGGUGAGUAACCCGUGAGUAACCUGCCCUUGACUUUGGGAUAACUUCAGGAAACUGGGGCUAACACCGGAUAGGAGCUCCUGCUGCAUGGUGGGGGUUGGAAAGUUUCGGCGGUUGGGGCUGGACUGGCGGGUUAUCAGCUUGUUGGUGGGGUAGUGGCUUACCAAGGGUUUGACGGAUAGCCGGCCUGGGAGGGUGACCGGCGACAUGAGUACUGAGGGACGCCGCAGACGCCAACGUGGGGCAGCGGGGGGAAGUAUGGUACAGUGGGGGGAAGUGUGUGAAGGCGGUGCCGCGAGCGUGAAGACGUCUUACGUGGGGUGAACCGCUUUAGGCUAAGACGAAGCGGGAGUGACGUUAAUAAGAGAAGAAGCACCGGCUAACUACGUG